CCAAUACAUAAUUAAAAUGUAAGUACUCUGAAAAAGAAAGUAUACAAAUCGAGUGUAUGUAGUCCUCUCAGUGCUGCAAUAAACACAGCUCAUUAUUUCAUUCACUCCCACCCCCUCCUGUCUGGGAUCCUUACAAAGCCACGCCCCCAAAACACAUGAACGCGCGCUGCCGACCGCGCUCAGCUGGAGGACCCGUUUACCAGCGCCGCAGAGAGGAUUAUGACAUCAUGUCAGAAUCACAUGUAAUAAAAUGCCUAACUUUAUCAUUAUUAAUAUAAACAACUAACAUGGCUGGUAGUACUCACUAUCAAGCUAGCAUAUUGAUACUGGUAAUGGUAAAGUUUAAAAUAUAUCGAGUUUUAUUCGGUAACGAGCUAGU